GAUGAACGCUGGCGGCGUGCUUAACACAUGCAAGUCGAACGAUGAAGCCCAGCUUGCUGGGUGGAUUAGUGGCGAACGGGUGAGUAACACGUGAGUAACCUGCCCUUGACUCUGGGAUAAGCCUGGGAAACUGGGUCUAAUACUGGAUAUGACUUCUCAUCGCAUGGUGGGGGGUGGAAAGAUUUAUUGGUCUUGGAUGGACUCGCGGCCUAUCAGCUUGUUGGUGAGGUAAUGGCUCACCAAGGCGACGACGGAUAGCCGGCCUGAGAGGGUGACCGGCCACACUGGGACUGAGACACGGCCCAGACUCCUACGGGAGGCAGCAGUGGGGAAUAUUGCACAAUGGGCGCAAGCCUGAUGCAGCGACGCCGCGUGAGGGAUGACGGCCUUCGGGUUGUAAACCUCUUUCAGUAGGGAAGAAGCGAGAGUGACGGUACCUGCAGAAGAAGCGCCGGCUAACUACGUG
rnacentral:rRNA from 1 species